CCUGAGCAUCACCCGCCACCCAGCCGGCCCAGCCUUGCCUCUGCAGGCUCCCUCCACGCACAAGCCUGUGACCCGGACCCAGUAUAUCCCAGUACAUGUAGUUUGAUCCCAGCAAAAAUACUGGACUAAGGGCAUGGGAAUCUGAAGACCUCUGUUUCUCCUAGAAGAGUGAUAAAGUAGGAAGGAGAGAUGGGAAACCCAGAAAACAUUGGAGAUGCAUAUGUUGCUGUGAUUCGUCCAAAAAAUACUGCUAGCCUGAAUUCUCGGGAAUAUCGAGCUAAAUCCUACGAAAUUUUGUUGCUUGAAGUUCCCAUUGAAGGCCAAAAGAAAAAAAGAAAGAAAGUUUUGUUGGAAACUAAACUGCAGGGAGGCACUGAGAUAACCCAGAGCAUCUUGGAUUACGUAUUAGAAGCCACCAAACCAAUUUCACCAGCCAAUCAGGGUAUUAAAGGAAAGCGUGUAGUGUUAAUGAAGAAGUUUCCUCUUGAUGGAGAGAAGGCAGGCCAGGAGGCAUCACUUUACGUUGUUCCAGCUGUUGUGAAAGAUAAUACAAAAUAUGCAUAUAGUCCUGGAUGCCCUGUGUUCUACUGUUUCCAAGACAUCAUGAGAGUCUGCAGUGAAUCCAGCACCCAUUUUGCUACGCUUACUGCAAGAAUGCUAAUUGCCUUGGAUAAGUGGUUAGAUGAACGACACACCCAGUCUCACUCCAUCCCAGCUUUAUUCAGACCAUCUCCUCUUGAGAGAAUUAAAACAAAUGUAAUAAACCCUGCCUAUGCUAUAGAACCUGGUCAAACAGAGAGCUCGUUACACAUGGGUUACACUGCCCUGGAAAUAAAGAGUAAAAUGCUGGCAUUGGAGAAAGCAGAUAUGUGUAUCUAUAAUCCUUUGUUUGGGUCUGACCUUCAGUAUACCAAUAGGGUUGACAAAGUGGUAAUAAAUCCAUACUUCGGCCUGGGAGCCCCAGACUAUUCAAAGAUUCAGAUUCCUAAAAGAGAGAAGUGGCAACGUAGCAUGAGCAGUGUCACAGAGGACAAGGAACACCAGUGGGUAGAUGAUUUUCCUCUUCACCGCAGUGCUUGCGAAGGCGACUCUGAUUUACUAAGCCACCUUCUGGAUAAAAAGUUUUCUGUUAAUCAGUUAGAUAGUGACCACUGGGCACCUAUUCAUUACGCAUGCUGGUAUGGAAAAGUUGAAGCCACUCGAAUGCUGUUGGAGAAAGGGAAAUGCAAUCCAAAUCUUUUGAAUGGCCAGCUUAGCUCUCCUCUUCAUUUUGCUGCUGGAGGUGGGCAUGCUGAAAUAGUACAGAUUCUACUAAAUCAUCCAGAAAUUGACAGACACAUUACUGAUCAACAGGGAAGAUCUCCACUGAAUGUCUGUGAAGAGAACAAACAAAAUGAGUGGGAAGAAACUGCAAAACUGCUGAAAGAAGCCAUAAAUAAACCUUAUGAAAAGGCACGAAUUUAUCGUAUGGAUGGGUCAUAUCGCUCUGUUGAGUUGAAACAUGGAAACAAUACUACUGUACAGCAGAUAAUGGAGGGGAUGCGUUUGUCUCAAGAAACUCAGCAGUACUUCACUAUCUGGAUCUGUUCUGAGAACCUCAGCCUCCAACUGAAGCCAUAUCACAAGCCUUUGCAGCAUAUUCGAGAUUGGCCUGAAAUAUUUACUGAACUAACAAACUUGGAUCCUCAAAGGGAAACUUCACAGCUUUUCCUGAGAAGAGAUGUGAGACUGCCACUGGAAAUAGAAAAAAAGAUUGAGGAUCCAUUGGCUAUUCUUAUUCUUUUUGAUGAAGCCAGAUAUAAUUUACUGAAAGGUUUCUAUACAUCACCUGAUGCCAAGUUGAUCACACUGGCAAGUCUGCUUCUACAAAUAGUCUAUGGAAAUUAUGAGAGCAAGAAACAUAAACAGGGCUUUCUAAAUGAAGAAAAUCUUAAAUCUAUAGUACCAAUCACUAAGCUAAAAAGUAAAGCUCCUCAUUGGACAAACAGGAUACUUCAUGAAUACAAGAAUCUCAGCACCAGUGAAGGUGUAAGUAAAGAGAUGCAUCACCUUCAGCGCAUGUUCUUGCAGAAUUGCUGGGAAAUUCCUACUUACGGAGCAGCUUUUUUCACAGGACAGAUAUUUACCAAAGCAAGUUCAAGUAGCCAUAAAGUCAUCAAAGUGUAUGUAGGAGUAAAUGUAAAAGGGCUGCACCUCCUCAACAUGGAAACAAAGGCUUUACUUCUUAGCCUAAAGUAUGGUUGCUUUAUGUGGCAGCUGGGAGAUGGAGAUACAUGUUUUCAAAUCCACAGUCUGGAAAACAAAAUGAGCUUUAUUGUGCAUACCAAACAGCCAAUGUGAAAGUGCCAUCCAAUGUCUUGCAAAGCAGGUGCUGCUACCGAAGAGCAGUAACAGGCUCAUCUUUGCAAGGUCAUCUUUCUUCGCUGGAGACAUGAACAGUGUGUUGAAUUAAAGGGUUGAAGGUAAGAGAACAUUUCCUUUGGGUAAGAAAAACUUGUGUUGCCAGGUUAUUGUGCUGCAAAAUCAUUAUUAAUAGACUUCCUCCUAACAGAUGUAAAAGCUCCUGUGUUUGAACACACCUAGAGUAAACAAAGAGCAGAAAAAUAGCUUCUACAGAGGCAAACUUAGGAACGUAUUAACCUACUUCGAAUAGCAGAAUUGGACAAAAAUUAUUAGGAUCCACUUUUAAUUACAAAUAGUAGACAUGAACCUCACUUUAUAUAGUGUUAUUGAGGUAUACCUUGAGGUGAUAUUUUGAUAAUUAGAUUGAUCAAAAAUAGACCAUAUAUUUUUUAUUUUUCUAGAACUAUUAGGAAUGUAGGUAUUUUCCAUCCCAAUCAAUGUCAAGAGACAAAACAACUAGCUGGGAUUUGCUAGAUAAUCCUGUCUCCAAGAUUCCUCUCUGUGAAAUGAACAAAUCCUUCCAACUCAUGUCAUGCUUCUUAAAAUUAGUUGGUCAUUAAACUUUCACUACUCAAGAAAAGCUAUACUGCAUCUCUGAUUUCUUAUAGCAGAAAAAAUUCCUUUACAUUUCUAAAAGCCAAAGUUUGAUUUUUUUUUUUUUUUUUUUUUUUACUAAGGAACAGAGCAAAACAAUCUCCUGAUGAGUUAUCUCUCUUUUCGCCAGAAAUUGCAAAAUCUGUAUUUCAUACCUGAUUUCAGAAAAGGCUCUUAUUUCUUUAUAUGAUUUCAAAUGUGGUUAUGAUCUUUCCCAAGGGCUGGCUUUCUUCAGACCAGGGAGCAAAAAGUAAGCGAUCUUACGUCCAUUUACUCAGAGAGUUGUAGCUUUAGUUUCAACAAAAACUGCAGAACAGUUGAAGUUCCAAGAAGGAAAAUAAAAAUUAGAAAAGACCAAAGUAAGAACAGAACCAAAAAGAAUAAAAUUAUGUUUCACUAUCCUAUGUCUGAAGAAAACAGAUAAUAAAAUUAGUGUUCUGAGGGUAAAGUUUUUCAUUAAUAACAGUGACCAAAAGAACAUAUGCCAAAGCUCCAGCUAUAGAUGUAUUAUUCUACUGCACGAUUUUUACUGCCUUUCUAGUAUCAUGUCUAAAAAGCUUCCCUGCAGUUUUUUGUCCUCAGCAUCCAUAUUUUUAUUGUCAAAUACCAAAUUAGCUUCCACUAGGAAUUGAAGGUCAGAAGCUUUUAUUGUUGGAAUUAAAUUAUGGAACCUUAUUUUGCCUGCAGGAAAGUUACUUUUUAAACUUUCUGCAGACAAGAAAGAGUUGUAUCUAAAUAAAUGAACUGUUCUAUUUCUUUAUCAGUUAUUUACAGUUCCAGAGAAGCUAUCUAAACUGGUUUGUAUCAGGGAAUUGGACAUAUAUCACAAUUCAUUAAAGGAACUUACAGACAGCAUCAAA